CAAGUCGAACGAUGAAAUUCUGACGGAGGCUUCGGCCAACUGAGGGAUGGAUUAGUGGCGGACGGGUGAGUAACGCGUGAGUAACCUGCCUUUCAGAGUGGAAUAACAUUUGGAAACGAAUGGUAAUACCGCAUAACGUCACGAGGUCGCAUGACCUUGUGACCAAAGGAGCAAUCCGCUGAAAGAUGGACUCGCGUCCGAUUAGCUAGUUGGAGAGGUAACGGCUCCCCAAGGCGACGAUCGGUAGCCGGACUGAGAGGUUGAACGGCCACUGGGACUGAGACACGGCCCAGACUCCUACGGGAGGCAGCAGUGGGGAAUAUUGCACAAUGGGGGAAACCCUGAUGCAGCAACGCCGCGUGAAGGAAGACGGUCUUCGGAUUGUAAACUUUUGUUCUUAGUGAAGAAAAAUGACGGUAGCUAAGGAGAAAGCCACGGCUAACUACGUGCCAGCAGCCGCGGUAAUACGUAGGUGGCAAGCGUUGUCCGGAAUUACUGGGUGUAAAGGGAGCGCAGGCGGGACUGCAAGUUGGAUGUGAAAUACCGAGGCUUAACCUCGGAGCUGCAUCCAAAACUGUAGUUCUUGAGUGAAGUAGAGGUAGGCGGAAUUCCGAGUGUAGCGGUGAAAUGCGUAGAUAUUCGGAGGAACACCAGUGGCGAAGGCGGCCUACUAGGCUUUAACUGACGCUGAGGCUCGAAAGUGUGGGGAGCAAACAGGAUUAGAUACCCUGGUAGUCC
rnacentral:rRNA from 1 species